rnacentral:rRNA from 1 species
UUAAAGUAGUAAGGGCGCAGGGUGGAUGCCUUGGCACUAAGAGCCGAUGAAAGACGUGAUAAGCUGCGAAAAGCUUCGGGGAGGAGCACAUAUCCAAUGAUCCGGAGAUAUCUGAAUGGGGAAACCCGGCAGAGGAAACCUCUGUCAGCGUGCAGUGAAUACAUAGCUGUACGUGGGGAACCCGGGGAACUGAAACAUCUAAGUACCCGGAGGAAGAGAAAGAAAAUUUAUCGAUUUCCAAAGUAGCGGCGAGCGAAAUGGAAAGAGCCCAAACCGUGAUGCGUGCAUCGCGGGGUUCGGACUGCGUUGUGGCAGACGUAAGAUAGGAGAACGGACUGGGAAGUCCGGCCGGAGAGAGUGAAAGCCUCGUAUCCGAAAUCCCAAGUCGCCUAGCAGGAUCCAGAGUAGGACGAGACACGAGAAACCUUGUCUGAACGAGCGGGGACCACCCCGUAAGGCUAAAUACUUCUUAGUGACCGAUAGCGCAUAGUACUGUGAAGGAAAGGUGAAAAGUACCCCGGGAGGGGAGUGAAAGAGAACCUGAAACCCUGUGUCUACAAGCUGUGGGACCUCUUUAUAUGAGGGACUGCGUACUUUUUGUAGAACGGUCCGGCGAGUUGUGCGUACUGGCGAGGUUAAGGACUUAAGGUCUGGAGCCGAAGUGAAAGCAAGCGUUAAUAGCGCGUCAAGUCAGUGAGUGCAGACCCGAAACCGGGUGACCUAUCCAUGUCCAGGUUGAAGCUUCCGUAAGAGGAAGUGGAGGACCGAACCCACAUCCGUUGAAAAGGGUGGGGAUGAGGUGUGGAUAGCGGAGAAAUUCCAAUCGAACCCGGAGAUAGCUGGUUCUCCUCGAAAUAGCUUUAGGGCUAGCCUCAUGAGAGUCUUAUGGAGGUAGAGCACUGAAUUGCCUAGGGGGCGUCAAAGCUUACCAAAGCAUAUCAAACUCCGAAUGCCAUCAAGAUGAUUCAUGGGAGUCAGACCAUACGAGAUAAGUUGGAUGGUCAAAAGGGAAAGAGCCCAGACCUACAGCUAAGGUCCCAAAGUACGUGUUAAGUGGAAAAGGAUGUGGGGAUUCUAAGACAACUAGGACGUUGGCUUAGAAGCAGCCAUUCAUUGAAAGAGUGCGUAAUAGCUCACUAGUCGAGAGUCCCUGCGCCGAAAAUGUCCGGGGCUGAAACACGACACCGAAGCUUAGGAAUGUGUAAACAUUGGUAGAGGAGCAUUGCUGGCGGGAUGAAGCCAUACCGUAAGGAGUGGUGGACUGCCAGGAAGAGAGAAUGCCGGAAUGAGUAGCGAGAUGAAGGUGAGAAUCCUUCAGGCCGAAUAUCUAAGGUUUCCAGAGUAAAGCUGAUCUGCUCUGGGUAAGUCGGGACCUAAGGCGAGGUCGAAAGACGUAGUCGAUGGAUAACAGGUUGAAAUUCCUGUACCGCAUAUAAACAGAACUGUGGGGACACAGACAGGGAAUGGAAUCCGGGAAUGGAAAUCCCGGUGCAAGCGAGGUAGGAGUGCUGUUGGCAAAUCCGCAGCACGAUCUGAAGACGUGACGCGUACCGAACAUAAGUAGGGAAGUCCAGGCCCCUGGCUGUCAAGAAAAGCCGCUAUCGUUUUAUAUGUGCCCGUACCGCAAACCGACACAGGUGGAUGAGGAGAGAAUCCUAAGGCCGACGGGAGAAGUAUUGUUAAGGAACUCGGCAAAAUGACUCCGUAACUUCGGGAGAAGGAGUGCCAUGAGAGUGGCCGCAGAGAAAUGGCCCAAGCAACUGUUUAGCAAAAACACAGGUCUAUGCAAAACCGCAAGGUGAAGUAUAUGGGCUGACGCCUGCCCGGUGCUGGAAGGUUAAGGGGAGAGGUUAGCGCAAGCGAAGCUUUGAACUUAAGCCCCAGUAAACGGCGGCCGUAACUAUAACGGUCCUAAGGUAGCGAAAUUCCUUGUCGGGUAAGUUCCGACCC